AGAGCCCGAGCAGCGGCCAGGGCAGCGCUGGCUUGUGGACCCGUACUUCCCACCCGAGACCUCUCACUGAGCCCGAGCCGCGCGCGACAUGAGCCACGGGAAGGGAACCGACAUGCUCCCGGAGAUCGCCGCCGCCGUAGGCUUCCUCUCCAGCCUCCUGAGGACCCGGGGCUGCGUGAGCGAGCAGCGGCUUAAGGUCUUCAGCGGGGCGCUCCAGGAGGCACUCACAGAGCACUACAAACACCACUGGUUUCCUGAAAAGCCGUCCAAGGGCUCCGGCUACCGCUGCAUUCGCAUCAACCACAAGAUGGACCCCAUCAUCAGCAGGGUGGCCAGCCAGAUCGGACUCAGCCAGCCCCAGCUGCACCAGCUGCUGCCCAGCGAGCUGACCCUGUGGGUGGACCCCUAUGAGGUGUCCUAUCGCAUUGGGGAGGACGGCUCCAUCUGCGUCUUGUACGAGGAGGCCCCAGUGGCCGCCUCCUGUGGGCUCCUCACCUGCAAGAACCAAGUGCUGCUGGGCCGGAGCAGCCCCUCCAAGAACUACGUGAUGGCGGUCUCCAGCUAGACCCGUCCGCCCCCGCCCUGGGCGCCGCCGUGCUCAUGCUGCCGUGACAACAGGCCACCACAUACCUCAACCUGGGGAACUGUAUUUUUAAAUGAAGAGCUAUUUAUAUAUAUAUUAUUUUUUUUUUAAGAAAAGAGGAGGAAAAAAAAACCAAAAGAUUUUUUUUAAGAAAAAAAAUCCUUCAAGGGAGCUGCUUGGAAGUGGCCUCCCCAGGUGCCUUUGGAGAGAACUGUUGUGUGUGCUUGAGUCUGUGAGCCAGUCUCUGCCUCCUUUUCAACUCUCCACAUUUUGUAUUGCCUUCCCAGACCCUGCUUCCAGUCUUUAUUGCUUUAAAGUUCACUUUGGGCCCACAGACCCAAGAGCUAAUUUUCUGGCUUGUGGGUUGAAACAAAGCUGUGAAUCACUGCAGGCUGUGUUCUUGCAUCUUGUCUGCAAACAGGUCCCUGCCUUUUUAGAAGCAGCCCCAUGGUCUCAUGCUUAAUCUUGUCUCUCUUCUCUUCUUGAUGAUGUUCACUUUAAAAACAAUGAAACCCCCGAGCUGGACUGUUGAGCAGGCCUGUCUCUCCUAUUAAGUAAAAAUAAAUAAUAGUAGUAUGUUUGUAAGCUAUUCUGACAGAAAAGACAAAGGUUACUAAUUGUAUGAUAGUGUUUUUAUAUGGAAGAAUGUACAGCUUAUGGACAAAUGUACACCUUUUUGUUACUUUAAUAAAAAUGUAGCAGGAUAAA